CUGCCAUUUCUUAACGAGACACUGUUCGAGAACGUACAUGUUAGUUAUUACGAGGACACUGUUUUCCGACAUUUUUCUUCAUAUUAAUGGUAACAUAGCCUGCAAUUUACUUGACAAUUCCAUCUGAUCCUUUGGGCUGAAACUGCUGUACAUUUUCUCAAAAUGUCGUCUCUUGCUGCAUUACCGGCUGUACGUUUCUUGUUCGCCACAUGGGGAAAUACUUCAGAACAGUAAAAGCAUGGUGAAAUCUGAGCUUCUUCAUUGUAGUCCAAUGUGUACAUGAAUUUGUUGCAGCCAGCUGGCGAAAGGUGUUCCUCUUGCAACCUUGCUACCGGUUGUAGCUUUCGUCACAUCCAGGAACACUCCAGAACAAUUUAAAGAUUAACAGCCUCUUGAGGUCUGAGCCUCUUUGUUGCAGUCCAAUGUGUACAUGAAUUGUGUGCAGCCAGCUAGUGAACGGUGUGGUGAGCUGUUGCAUGCAGACUGUGGUGCUGGUGUCGGUCAUUCAUUUAACUAUGGACCCUUCACCGUUGGGUCGUUCGUUUAUCAUUACCAUGGUUAGUUUUAUGAGCUGUUUGGGGUACAGUGGUUUUGCAGACAUUUUUCCAGUUGACAGAUACGCUGAAAUGGAGUUUGUGCAGACUUGCAGUUGGACAUCAUACUUUAAUGUGUCAUUUUCCUAUUUUGGUGUCCAUGCAGUGUUGAACUGUUGUGCAAAAUAGUCAAUGUUGCGUUAUGGCUGUCGGGCUUAUUUUAUCGGCAGCAUUUUGUCGAUAUGUCGUCUCUUGCUACCUGUACUUCCGUCGAGUUGAUUCGUUCGUCGCCGUUCAUUAGACUUGAUUCACCGGUGAAACUAAGAAGACGUUGCUGAAAUUCAAGAUUGAUCAAUAAAUUAUGUAGAUGUAUAUAAAUUACAAGUGCAUAUCUGGGCUCCCUUCUUCAGUGGCCCCGUAUCCCUAAAUAACUACUAACCAACGCCCGCCGGUGGUCACUCACUCGCUGCGACAACCAGGAGGAAGGAAGAUGUUUGGUCAGGCGCAUGAUUCGAUGAAAUCUGUUGGAGGGUCAUGAGUCUCUCUAAGCCGGAAGCCUACUAUGGUUAGGUUAUCCUGAAACCUUUAGGGUUGCCAUUCCAUCGAGGCUUAAACGAGGAUGACGCGGAGGUGUUUCAUAUUGAGGGGUUUUGGUGACAAGGAGUCACUGAACGAAACGCUAAACCAAAUGAAAAAAAAAUGAAAAAAGAUUUUCUUCUCCGACCGCAGGUGCAAGGAUUAUGUGUUUGAAACUUAGAAAAUGUUGCAGUAGAAUAUUUUAAAAAAACCGACAGUCCUUCAAACGGUUCGAAAUCG